GUAUAUGUAUAUAAAGUGAUGGUUUGUUGCCAACUUAAUAUGGCAGUCCCAGGAAAGGGGGGAAAUGCUACUGCUAUUUAGCCCCAGGAAAAACUGUUUCCAGUUGGCCAUCUGACACAAGCGUACUGUGUCC